rnacentral:pre_miRNA from 1 species
UUAACUCGAAUUUGUAUGGAGUUGGAAUGUGUGUCCACGUUUGCCGCUAGGGGCGCUGUUUCAACUGCAAAAAAAAUUGAGUUA